GUGACCCAGCAACGCCGCGUGGAGGAUGAAUGCCGUAAGGUUGUAAACUCCUUUUGAAGAGGACGAAUAGCACCGAUCGACUCGGUGUUUGACUGUACUCUUAGAAGAAGCCCCGGCUAACUACGUGCCAGCAGCCGCGGUAAUA
rnacentral:rRNA from 1 species